rfam:Mesonia phycicola strain DSM 21425 genome assembly, contig: Ga0070602_101
UCAUACCUAUAUUUGAGGCAAUGAAAAAUUUAACAGUACAUACUUGGUGGUGGAAUAACUUACGAAAAACGUCGUGAGCUAGCACCGCAUUGUAUAUAAUUAUAUCCAAAAAGGCUUGUC